UAACGGCCGCGGUACCCUAACCGUGCGAAGGUAGCAUAAUCACUUGUUCUUUAAAUAAGGACUAGUAUCAACGGCAUCACGAGGGUUACACUGUCUCCUUUCUCCAAUCAGUGAAACUGAUCUCUUCGUGAAGAAGCGAAGAUAUAACUAUUAGACGAGAAGACCCCAUGGAGCUUUAAGCUCAAUAACAAUUUUUAUAAAAAUAAUCCUUCAUAAUACACAAACCCUGUUUAUUAGCUUUAGGUUGGGGUGACCGCGGAGUAUAACUUAACCUCCACAACGAAAAGGCAUAAAACCCUUAUCCAAGAGCCACUGCUCUAAGAAUCACCAAAUUGACGUAUAAUGAUCCGAUUUUCGAUCAACGGACUAAGUUACCCUGGGGAUAACAGCGCAAUCCAUUUUUAGAGCCCCUAUCGACAAA
rnacentral:rRNA from 1 species